rnacentral:rRNA from 1 species
UACGAGGGGGGCAAGCGUUGUUCGGAAUUAUUGGGCGUAAAGGGCGCGUAGGCGGUGCGGUAAGUCACCUGUGAAAUCUCCGGGCUUAACUCGGAGCCUGCAGGCGAAACUGCCGUGCUGGAGUAUGGGAGAGGUGCGUGGAAUUCCCGGUGUAGCGGUGAAAUGCGUAGAUAUCUGCAGGAACACCCGUGGCGAAAGCGGCGCGCUGGACCACUACUGACGCUGAGGAACGAAAGCUAGGGGAGCAAACAG